AUACAGAGGGUGCAAGCGUUAAUCGGAAUUACUGGGCGUAGAGGGCCCGUAGGCGGUUUGGUAAGUCUUAUGUGAAAGCCCCCGGCUCAACCGGGGAAUUGGCCUCGAUACUGCACGCCUCGAGGACGGGAGGGGCGCGAGGAACUCGUGGUGGAGCGGUGAAAUGCGUAGAUAUCACGAGGAACACCGGUGGCGAAGGCGUCGCGCUGGCCCGUUUCUGACGCUGAGGAGCGAAAGCUAGGGGAGCAAACAGGAUUAGAUACCCCAGUAGUCC
rnacentral:rRNA from 1 species